rnacentral:misc_RNA from 1 species
CCUCUUGUCCGGAUACCUACCGACUGACACACGACCACAGGCACGUGCGAAAUUGGGCAAGGGUGAAAUAUGAGUUUUGACUCGGUGGUGCAAGUUUUUUUUUGCCCGCGAGACAACUUUCCACGCAUCGUGAUCGAAAUGCCGCGCGCGGGUUAACGAACUGAGAGAAAGAUGAAUGCGCGUUAAUUUUUCGGCGUGCGAGAAGCGCCUGCGGCGCAGCCGGAAUCUCAAAUCUUGCGGGUGAAGGGCUCGACGC